rnacentral:rRNA from 1 species
CGGCUCAGUAACACGUGGAUAACCUACCCUUGAGACGGGGAUAAACCCGGGAAACUGGGUAUAAUACCCGAUAGAUCUCGACUGCUGGAAUGCAUCGAGCUUGAAAGCUCCGGCGCUCAAGGAUGGGUCUGCGGCCUAUCAGGUAGUAGUGGGUGUAGCGUACCUACUAGCCUACGACGGGUACGGGUUGUGAGAGCAAGAGCCCGGAGAUGGAUUCUGGGACACGAAUCCAGGCCCUACGGGGUGCAGCAGGCGCGAAAACUUUACAAUGCUGGAAACAGCGAUAAGGGGACCUCGAGUGCCAGGUUACAAAUCUGGCUGUCGUGAUGCCUAAAAAGCAUUGCAUAGCAAGGGCCGGGCAAGACCGGUGCCAGCCGCCGCGGUAACACCGGCGGCUCGAGUGGUAACCGUUAUUAUUGGGUCUAAAGGGUCUGUAGCCGGCCGGAUAAGUCUCUUGGGAAAUCUGGCAGCUUAACUGUCAGGCUUUCAGGAGAUACUGUCUGGCUCGAGGCCGGGAGAGGUGAGAGGUACUUCAGGGGUAGGGGUGAAAUCUUGUAAUCCUUGAAGGACCACCAGUGGCGAAGGCGUCUCACCAGAACGGACCUGACGGCAAGGGACGAAAGCUAGGGGCACGAACCGGAUUAGAUACCCGGGUAGUCCUAGCCGUAAA